GAUGAACGCUGGCGGCGUGCCUAAUACAUGCAAGUCGAGCGAACGGACGAGAAGCUUGCUUCUCUGAUGUUAGCGGCGGACGGGUGAGUAACACGUGGAUAACCUACCUAUAAGACUGGGAUAACUUCGGGAAACCGGAGCUAAUACCGGAUGAUAUUUUGAACCGCAUGGUUCAAAAGUGAAAGACGGUCUUGCUGUCACUUAUAGAUGGAUCCGCGCUGCAUUAGCUAGUUGGUAAGGUAACGGCUUACCAAGGCAACGAUGCAUAGCCGACCUGAGAGGGGUAUCGGACACCAUGGAAAUUAGGCACGGUCCCAACUCCUACGGGAGGGAGGAGUAAGGAAUCUUCCGCAAUGGGCGAAAGCCUGACGGAGCAACGCCGCGUGAGUGAUGAAGGUCUUCGGAUCGUAAAACUCUGUUAUUAGGGAAGAACAUAUGUGUAAGUAACUGUGCACAUCUUGACGGUACCUAAUCAGAAAGCCACGGCUAACUACGUG
rnacentral:rRNA from 1 species